UUGGAUCACUGUAGAACUUAUAGCGGACAGAUUUUUUCCGCCAUUGAAUUCACCAACUCGUGCUCCUUUGAUUGCCAAUACCGGAUUCAUAGACCCGUCAAAGUUCUCGGCUUGUAAAUCCCACAAUUUCUUUACCCGUGGUUCGUGCUGUCAAUGUUUGGACCUCGCUACAGGACUUAGCAACUCCCAAAAUAUCUGUAAUAUAUUACCAUGUAAUAUAAGUAAUACACCCUAAUGAAUCAUGAUUAAACGAGUAUUCAAAGUA